rnacentral:rRNA from 1 species
ACGAACGCUGGCGGCAUGCCUAACACAUGCAAGUCGAACGCGACCUUCGGGUCUAGUGGCGCACGGGUGCGUAACGCGUGGGAACCUGCCCUUAGGUUCGGAAUAACUCCCCGAAAGGGGUGCUAAUACCGGAUAAUGUCUUCGGACCAAAGAUUUAUCGCCUUUGGAUGGGCCCGCGUUGGAUUAGCUAGUUGGUAGGGUAAAAGCCUACCAAGGCGACGAUCCAUAGCUGGUCUGAGAGGAUGAUCAGCCACACUGGGACUGAGACACGGCCCAGACUCCUACGGGAGGCAGCAGUGGGGAAUAUUGGACAAUGGGCGAAAGCCUGAUCCAGCAAUGCCGCGUGAGUGAUGAAGGCCUUAGGGUUGUAAAGCUCUUUUACCCGGGAUGAUAAUGACAGUACCGGGAGAAUAAGCUCCGGCUAACUCCGUG